UUGCGAGCGUUCCAGCAAGUCUAAAGCGUUUAAGAGGCUUUGUAUUGUUGUUCUCACCUGAUGCUGUCGUUCUUGCAACCCGUCUGAUAUUGCAACUGUCUGUAAGUGGAAGCGUUUCUUCUAACCGCGAGCAGACCAGUCGGUCUCGUUUGACAUGUCAAAGAGUGAAGACGCUGCCUUGCAUGUGAAGCCAAAUCGUUCUUCGCCUUCAGGAUUCUUGCCGUUUCAGGGAUCUGCACAACGACAGGGAGAUAGAACGCCAAGUGAAGUCUACUGUAUGCUUUGUGCAGACGGUUCAGCGUGUAUGACGCAGCGGCCUCCAGCAAGAGAAACUCAAGCACCGUGUUCAAAUGCGGUGGGGACUCUUGCUCGACAUAAUAACGCUUAGAAGUGCUUUUUCGGAAGAAGGACAAGUUGGACCGGAAAUGAGGACCUAGGUGUGCUCUUUUGCGUUGUUGUUCACCGUUCGAUCAUUACCAAUUUUUGUGCCCCCGUGAGUUCAACGCUCAGGUAUGUUGAUGAUAAAUGGAUAUGCGUUAAAAGGUACGUACUCCGGAGUGGUGAAUUGUUGUGGUGAAGUGAUUUGUUGCUGCUAUCUCCUGUUUCGUGAGGGUUCUUGUCGGUACUCAUAUACCGCAGGCAUGAGGGGCUUUCUUUGCAGAACAUUUCAGUGAACCAAGACUGCAGCAUUUUCAAGAUUGCCAUAACCAGCAUCAAUGCAGCUCUCAUGUCAACAUCAGCAUCAAGACAGCUCUGAUAGACCACCUCUUACUGGGUACGUUUCCCCCCCCCCUUUUGAGACACCAUUGAAGGGCCAGUGGUUACGCAGGCAGGCUGGAUAUUACGACACAAUUGGCAUACAUUGGGUGAUGCAGGCAGACUGCUUAGUGUGCACCACUCGUCGUUUAGUCUAUUGAGGUGCUACAAGUGUUGUGUCAGUCUAUUUCCUCUCCGAAAAUAAAAUGUUGGGCUCUACA